rnacentral:rRNA from 1 species
GGUACCCUACGGGGGGCAGCAGUGGGGGAUAUUGCACAAUGGAGGGAACUCUGAUGCAGCGACGCCGCGUGAGUGAAGAAGUAUCUCGGUACGUAAAGCUCUAUCAGCAGGGAAGAAAAAAAGUCUUUGGCUUUGGACGGUACCUGACUAAGAAGCCCCGGCUAACUACGUGCCAGCAGCCGCGGUAAUACGUAGGGGGCAAGCGUUAUCCGGAUUUACUGGGUGUAAAGGGAGCGUAGACGGCAGCGCAAGUCUGGAGUGAAAUGCCGGGGCUCACCCCCGGAACUGCUUUGGAAACUGUGCAG